AACAAAUGUACUAUGUUCUGAUAUAAUCGUACCUAUUGUAAAUAUUCAAAGAAAAAUCAAGAACAAUCAAAUCACCUAAUCGACAUAUAAUACUCAAUGGCGUCUACGGCGGAACUUACGAGAAUAAAAUGAACGACAGCGCCAAUAUAAGGAGACAAUUGCUCGCCAACAACCCUCAAAAAUGAAUAGAGAUUUUUUGAACAAUUUAACAUAUUUAAGAGAAGAGCGAGCUUCUUAUGAAAGUGCAUUUGGUAUUUAAAAAAAAUUUAACUAAUUGAAUGAGAUGAUGUUUCUUAAAGAAUUACCUUUUUGGUAGGUAUCUGUGGCACUUGAAGAUGAUAUUGCUCCUCGCAAUAUCGUCGUAACAAUUUAAUGCCCUCGCUACGAUUAUGGCCAUAACGUGUUUCCCAUGCAUCUAGUAGGCGAUUGUAAUAUCGAGGAGUAUCCGUAUAUUUUAAAUAUUUAUAUGAUUCCCUAGUUGGAAAUAUACGC